rnacentral:rRNA from 1 species
CCAAAAAUCUAGCCCCACCCAAUAUACGACUUGAUACAAACUAAAAUAUUCUUACACUUAAGUAAAGAUGAUUGAAAAAUUACUAGGAGCAAUAGAUAGAGUACCGCAAGGGAAUAAUGAAAUAAAUGAAAUACUUAAGCACAAAAUAGUAGAGACUCCCACUCGUACCUUUCGCAUCAUGAUUUAACUAGUCUAACCAAGCAUAAAGACUUAAAGUUUGGCCCCCCGAAACUGAGUGAGCUACUUCAUGGCAGCUUCCGAGCGAACCCGUCUCUGUUGCAAAAGAGUGGAAAGACCAUCAAGUAGAGGCGACAAACCUAACGAACUCAGUGAUAGCUGGUUUCUCAAGAAAAGAAUUUUAGUUCAACCUAAAGACAUCACGAUAUUAAUAAAUAAUAACUUUACUUUAGAGUAAUCUAAAUAAGGUACAGCCUAUUUAAAAAAGGACACAACCUACUUCUGUGGGUAAUGGGAACCCCCCCCCGAUCAAGUGGGCCUAAAAGCAGCCAUCUUACAAAAUGCGUCAAAGCUUCCUCUUAUCUUCUCUCAUUCCAACGCCUUUACAGAACCCCUUCACCCUAUUGAGAACUUCUAUAUACAUAUAGAAAAUUUUAUGUUAAAACUAGUAACAAGAAACCAUUCUCUUCAAUACAUGUGUAAGCUAGAAUGGAAAAUCCACUAGCACUUACUCAGACUUGAAAAAUAAUAGCAACU